rnacentral:rRNA from 2 species
UACGGAGGGUGCAAGCGUUGUUCGGAAUCACUGGGCGUAAAGCGCGUGUAGGCGGCCUUGUAAGUCUGGUGUGAAAGCCCGGGGCUUACCCCCGGAAGUGCACUGGAAACUGCGAGGCUUGAGUACCGGAGAGGAGGGUGGAAUUCCUGGUGUAGCGGUGAAAUGCGUAGAUAUCAGGAGGAACACCGGUGGCGAAGGCGGCCCUCUGGACGGAUACUGACGCUGAGACGCGAAAGCGUGGGGAGCAAACAGG